rnacentral:rRNA from 1 species
UACGAAGGGGGCUAGCGUUGUUCGGAUUUACUGGGCGUAAAGCGCACGUAGGCGGACUAUUAAGUCAGGGGUGAAGUCCCGGGGCUCAACCCCGGAACUGCCUUUGAUACUGGUAGUCUUGAGUUCGAGAGAGGUGAGUGGAAUUCCGAGUGUAGAGGUGAAAUUCGUAGAUAUUCGGAGGAACACCAGUGGCGAAGGCGGCUCACUGGCUCGAUACUGACGCUGAGGUGCGAAAGCGUGGGGAGCAAACAGG